GUGGUGGUGGAGCAGUAGUAGUGUGAUUGUGCAUUACACAUUAGACAUCAUUCAGCAGCCAUCACAGGGAGAAAAGGCAAGAGUAAAAUGCAAGAAAGCUGGUGAAGGGGUUCAGAGCACUACAAAACUGCUAUGGCGGACAACUCCAUGUAUUCUGCCAAAACAAGGAACAAGUCUGAGGGACGGCAUUCACGCACAGAAGCACCAUAAGGAAUCACAGACUACUCAAGAGGAGCUGAGGAGAAGCGCCAAUCAUCUUAAGUGAAAUUAUGACGACAAUGGAGUACACAGCAUUGCACACACUUCUCUGGCUUCUAACUGCAUUCACUCUUACAACACAAGAUUUGGUGAAACUAAGCGUCACUCCUGUGAUAACUGCAGAGUGUAACCAACAGGUUACCCUACACUGCAACGUGUCCUCAUCUCAAAACGAUCUAUCAAUCAAACACAUGAAGUGGUCCCAAAAUAAAAUGUCUUUGUGUUCUGUGGACGAUAAAGGAAUAAUCUCAACCCACACACACAAUCUAAGUGACUUCCAUUGUGAGUAUAGACAUGGACAACUGUCCCUCAUCUUUAAGAGAGUGCAGCCACUGGAUAGCUCAAAGCCCUACAUGUGCAAACUACAGUCCAACGGGGGAGCUUCACAUCGCUAUACAGAUGUGAUGUUACAAGAGUGCUAUGGGAACGUUGAGGGCUCCUUCACUGAUGACGGCCCCGCCUGUACUUUCAGAAAUGUUCACCCAGACGGUGAUGUGCUCUGGUUUCACGACUCCCACAGUCUCUCACAUGUGAAGCACUACACUACUAAACAAGUGGAAGAAGGGGGCUGGCUGACUAUCCAUAGUUACCUGGAGCAGAAAAGUUCAAAUGUGCCCUACAACUGUUCCUUGAAGAGCACCGAAUCUGGUAGAUACAUUGCGAGCACUUUGGUUCAGAAACGAGAAUCCAGAGCCAGAGCACCAGGAUACACACGGCAGGGCAAGAAUGGAGCUGGGUCACAGGGACCUAUGUGGACAUUUUUGUUUAUUCCAAUCUUGCUGACUGUCACACUGAAAUAACAGAGUGUGAUAAGAAAUCAGGAGGAGGCAGUGAUUAACGCUGAUUAGAAACAAUGAGGUACUGAGGUUUGUGUGUUUUUUAAUCCAGGGUAACGGCACUCUCAGUUAAGUGAGUCAUCAUGCACAGUCCAGAGGUUUAUUCUUCUUCUUUUUAGCUUUUGAAUGAAGUGAACAAAGAAAUGACAGCCUGCUGAGAGACCAAUAAUCAUUACACUGUAAAAAAAAAAAAUACCUUUGUUGUUUUGUUUCGAUAGGGAGUCACGGAUGAGGAAGCAGAGGGUAUUGGUUUCAUUAUCUUCAAAUACACACACACAUAUAUAUAUAUAUAUAUAUAUAUAUAUACACACACACACACACACACACACACACACACACUCACACUCUCAUAUAACUGCAAAUGUUCGAGGAGUCCUUUCGGCUACUGGUUCAGUUUAGCUUUAAGAUGUACACCUUAUAGCCACAGAUUAUUUUCAGGCGUAUGUAUUUACUCCUGAGAGAGUGAGAUGAAACUGUGUUUUGACAGGUGUGUCCACUACAGGACGGUUGUUUAUGUGUGUGACUGCUGUGCGAAUGUACGCUUUACGCAAGAGCGCCCAUGAAAAGAAAAAAACUGUCCAUCUUGAGCAGAAUGCAGACCUCAAAAGAUGAAUUCCCCUCAGACACACAGAAGCCUUUAUGUGCGAAAUAUCAAAUAGCUGGACACAGGAACUCUCAGUCAUGCAACAUCUCUGUCUGUGGUUCGUGGAUAGAUGCUGCCCUCUGGUGUACUGGCUGUGGUCAGUAUGAUGGCUGCUGCACAACUAACAGUUAAGGGAGGGCAAGGGUUGCUUUAAACUGACUUGACUGACGUAAUGUCAGAUUUCUGAUAAGCCUUUGCAAUGGAGGUAAAAGGUUUGUAGUGUUCUAAUGCAAAUUGUCCAUAGUGAGGUCUGUGGAUGAUCCAGAGUCAUGGGGACACAGUUUCAUUUAAAUAUCAGUGUUCAAUGUUCUAAGUGGCAUGGUGGUUCAGUGGUUAGCGUUGUUGCCUGCCAGCUAGAGGGUUCCUGGUUCGGGGUAGGGAGUUCCUCACAUGGUACUCCGGUUUCCUCCCACAGUCCAAAGACACGCACGUUCGGUUAACUGGUGACUCUAAAUUGCCCGUAGGUGUGAAUGUGAGUGUGAAUGGUUGUCUGUCUCUGUGUUAACCAUUGGAUAGUCUGGCAUUCUGUCCAGGGUGUUCCCUGCCUCUCGCCAAAUGUCAGCUAGGAUAGGCUCCAGCACCCCUGCGACCAGCACCACUGCCACAGGAUAAGUGGCUAAGGAAAUGAAUGAAUGCUCUGAGCACCACCACAUGUGAUAUUCCAUGCUACUCAAUAUGAAGUCUCAGAGAUGGAUAUCUCAAACCAACACAUCAUGUCUAGCUUCCACACAAAAUUUGAUAAGAUUGUAUAUUUUGUUUCUUUUUAUUUUAAAUCUUACCAGGAGUCAGAGUCUGGGUGUGGCAAAUGAGUAAUAAGACAGAUAGAGAUCAUUUGUCCCGUUUCCCAUCUUCGACUAGCCGUCUGUCUUUGCAGCUAUAGCUCAAAGCUGGAGGACAAACCCAGCUCCAAGGCUGAAACUCUGGCUUUUAAACGCCUCAGUGCACCCUCUUCAGACAGGACAUUUGAGAGCCUUUUCAAGUCAGAAUGACUCUCUGCUAAUGGUGUCACUAAAUCGGAGCCACGCAGGGGCAGGCUGAACUUUUAGCAAACGUUGCUGCAGCUGAGAGCCCACUGGGUGAAUGACUACAAUGAGGUCACCUUGACUAGUACUGCGCAAAUGGAUACACACAUUCACAAACACACGAACACCAGUCCAGAUACGCUGAGAACUUCAAAUAGUAAAUGUUGUUGUCUCUGAGAAAUGUUGAUGCUGAUGUUUUUGUGAAAUUUUACCACUGACGAAUGACUAAAGGAGAUAAAUUAAACUUAAGCCUACCAAAUAUUUGGCACUCCAAUUUAAAAUCAAUUUACAUAAAUGAUCACAAAACAUGUUUUAACAGACUGAAUGACAAUGUAAUUCCGACUUUUGAAGCCUGUCAAGAUAAACGCUGUUAGGAACCUGCUUUUGUGUUGUUUUUACUGAAUGGUUUUAUAUUUGUGAUUUACGUGUUCAAACAAAAAAAUCCUAGUAAUUAAUAACUGCUGUAGCCUUUGAAAAAGGAGUCUUUAAAAAGAAAUUAGAAAAAAACAUUUAUACAUGAAAUGAUUUGUGGUUGUUUUCUCUCUCACAAUAACAGACACGAGAUCAUUUCUUUUAUUUAUGUCAUAAUGUGAUGAUGGAUUCUCCUUGAUUUACUGUGGCUUAGAUUGUACCUCAUUUAUACAAUGCUUUGGACAAAUGUGCCUGCCAAUGAAUGUAUGUAAAUGACUAACUUUGCAUCCUAAGAUGAAAAAAGGCAAUCUUUAGAACUUGUAGUAAAAGACUGAAUUGGGAAUGUGCGGCUUUCCCAUCUUUCUUGUGUGUCUGUCUACGAGCCAGUACCUCCACUGAAGGUCCCAGGGGUGUAACUAUAGACAGUGCAAGCAAUGCCUUUGCAUUGGGGCCCAAGGGGUGGGGUCAUGUUAAACUAAAAGUAGUGCCAUUUGCUAUUUAUGCCCUCAAAAAGGCCAAGAAUCAAUCUAUAGCAAAAUGUGCUUAUUCUACAUAAACCAUAAAAACUAAAAAUAGACUACAUAUAUAUUAAACACUACUCAAUUAAAUAAAUCCUUUCUUAUUUUCUUUUGGUAUUUUUGUCAUAUACAGUUGAUAGAAAGAUGACUGCUGGGUAAUGUAUACGUUGAUGUUGUCCAGUGUAAAGUCUUUAUUUGAUCAUGUAACAAGAUGCUGGGAUAUAUGGUAGCUAGUUUAGACACAACAUCAUAGUAACGUCAUAGUGACAUGCACUUAGGCCCCUCAUGACUACCCUUAGACCACUGGUGGGUACUAUGAGUAGGUAGACUAUCACACCUCAACUCAGUUGCCUGAUGAAAAUGUUGACACAAAUGUUUCUGCAGACCAUGAAUAUGUUGCAUUUGCAUAUUUCUUAUGUGUCAGAUAAAGGCUUCUAAAGUGACUUAGUAGACUUAAUCAUUAGGAGGUAGAUGGCCUAUCACCUAGACGAGACACCUGUCAAGCUGCAGACCACUGCAAAACACUGACAAACAAACAAUAAAACCAGUUGUGACCUAGUGAGUCAUUGCUGUGUUUCCAGCAGAUUUUUAGGUACCAAAUGUGGGUGUUUUGUGCGACCUGUUGCUAUUUUUCCAACAGGGAUAGUGUCACUAAGUCCAAAUACUUUAAGCCGAAGCAUGAUGCUUUCCAAAUCAUAAGUGGUUUUUGUGCCUAAACUUAACCAACGUUAACCACAGCAUUGUUGGAAUGUAAAGUUUUACCAUAACUGCUUCAUAAUAACUUGUAUGUAAUGUAUCCAUGAUUUGCACUUUCUGUGCUAUUUUCCAGAUCUCUUUGUUUGAUCAUAUAUGCAGCAUGAAUGUAAUUUAGGAAGCUUUAAGUUGUUCUAUAAAGUCAAAAUGAAACUAUACUUAUCUAGCUGAGCCUCAUUUAAGUUCAUUGUUGACUUUACAAACAACGGGUAAUAAAAACAAUUUUUUACCUCAAGUUCCAUUCAGUAGCUUUUCUUGAGCUUUUGGUGAUAUUAUCUGGUCCUCAUGUAGAUUGUGUUCACUUAGUUGUCACUGAACUGCAGAUUAUCAACUUUAUCAGCUUUACAAGUGCACAAACUCCCUGUGCUGAUGAAGAUCAUGUGAUAUGAUCAAAAGCUCCACAACAGCCACCGAAUGGACCUUCAGGUGAGACUGUUGUGUCAGCUAUUGUAUUAAAUAAAC